GUACGAAGGUGCAAGCGUUAAUCGGAAGUUACUAGGGCGUAAAGCGCGCGUAGGUGGUUCAGCAAGUUGGAUAGUCGGAAAGCCCUGGGCGUCAACCUGGGAACUGCAUCCAAAACGUACUGAGCUAGAGUACGGUAGAGGGGUAGUGGAAUUUCCUGUGUAGCGGUGAAAUGCGUAGAUAUAGGAAGGAACACCAGUGGCGAAGGCGACCACCUGGACUGAUACUGACACUGAGGUGCGAAAGCGU
rnacentral:rRNA from 1 species